rnacentral:lncRNA from 1 species
GAUAGCUCACCUGGUAGAGCGGAGGACUCUAAGAAUUUCCAACUACGGCCAUCCUUAAGGUGGCCGGUUCGAUUCUCUCUGUGUUUUCAUGCUUCAGUCUACUCAGCCAACGAAAGGUUUUAUUAAUGUAUCCUCCUAAUCCAAAGACUGUGAAGCAGUAAUUUGAAUUAUAUUUUCAGGCAACAAAAGAACAUUUAAUGCGUCC